GGACCCACUUUGAGAACCACUUACCUAUGACAUACCACAUUAGCUGCAGCAGAGACACCAGAGAUGGGCAGUCCACAUUCUCUCCAGUAAUAAUACAUGAAGGGCUCCUCUCCCUCAUCCAUUAAUCAGGAGGGAGGCUGAGAUUAACCCCGGAUUGUCUGUCCCCUCCCACCUCAUUGAUAGAUUGCUGUCGACUGCUUGGAGCCUUCAUGACUGAUUCCAAAAUGACUGUCUCUCUCUCUCCCUCCUGGAAGGCUAGUGCCUUUCAUGCACCCACUUUGUUUUUGUUUAGAUUAUUGGUUCACGUUGCAAAUAGUUUAGGUUAGCACAUACAGUGUCAUAGCAAAUAACUCCAUCCUUCAAUUACUGACUUUACACCUCCUAGAUUAUGUUGAGUUAUCUGUAAUAAAUUAUUCAUCUACUGAA